CUCUAGUCACUUUUCAUUUCCAGCCUCCCUUUCAGGUAUACCCAGUACAUCCAUGGCAGCUGCAGGUGGCACCUGAAUGACAGGCCUGAAAAAGGGAGAGAAGUCCACUGUGAAAUGCUGGCUUGGUGGAUCUCCACAAAAAAUGGAAUAAUUUAAAGUAUCCUGAAAGGUGGAUGUCCCGGUGCAUACCUGUUGGGAAAGCAUGAAGCAGAACCACUGAACCGGGAACAGAUAUCUGAAAUAUGACAGAAAUUUGCACUAGAAAUCCAUCUAUUAUGGCCUGAUUUGUAUUGGAGAAAUAUACAGGCAAAGAUGGAGCAGAGACUGAGGAAAUGGCCAACCAAUAACUGUCCGAAUUUGAGACACAUCCCAUGGUCCCUUUCUCCCUCUAGCUCCUGUGAAGCUGGAAAGAACCCAGAUGUCCCUCAACAGAGGAAUGAAUACAGAAAAUGUGGUACAUU